GGUGAACGCUGGCGGCGUGCCUAAUACAUGCAAGUCGAGCGAACGGACGAGAAGCUUGCUUCUCUGAUGUUAGCGGCGGACGGGUGAGUAACACGUGGAUAACCUACCUAUAAGACUGGGAUAACUUCGGGAAACCGGAGCUAAUACCGGAUAAUAUUUUGAACCGCAUGGUUCAAAAGUGAAGGACGGUCUUGCUGUCACUUAUAGAUGGAUCCGCGCUGCAUUAGCUAGUUGGUAAGGUAACGGCUUACCAAGGCAACGAUGCAUAGCCGACCUGAGAGGGUGAUCGGCCACACUGGAACUGAGGCACGGUCCAGACUCCUACGGGAGGCAGCAGUAGGGAAUCUUCCGCAAUGGGCGAAAGCCUGACGGAGCAACGCCGCGUGAGUGAUGAAGGUCUUCGGAUCGUAAAACUCUGUUAUUAGGGAAGAACAUAUGUGUAAGUAACUGUGCACAUCUUGACGGUACCUAAUCAGAAAGCCACGGCUAACUACGUGCCAGCAGCCGCGGUAAUACGUAGGUGGCAAGCGUUAUCCGGAAUUAUUGGGCGUAAAGCGCGCGUAGGCGGUUUUUUAAGUCUGAUGUGAAAGCCCACAGCUCAACCGUGGAGGGUCAUUGGAAACUGGAAAACUUGAGUGCAGAAGAGGAAAGUGGAAUUCCAUGUGUAGCGGUGAAAUGCGCAGAGAUAUGGAGGAACACCAGUGGCGAAGGCGACUUUCUGGUCUGUAACUGACGCUGAUGUGCGAAAGCGUGGGGAUCAAACAGGAUUAGAUACCCUGGUAGUUCACGCCGUAAACGAUGAGUGCUAAGUGUUAGGGGGUUUCCGCCCCUUAGUGCUGCAGCUAACGCAUUAAGCACUCCGCCUGGGGAGUACGACCGCAGGGUUGAAACUCAAAGGAAUUGACGGGGACCCGCACAAGCGGUGGAGCAUGUGGUUUAAUUCGAAGCAACGCGAAGAACCUUACCAAAUCUUGACAUCCUUUGACAACUCUAGAGAUAGAGCUUUCCCCUUCGGGGGACAAAGUGACAGGUGGUGCAUGGUUGUCGUCAGCUCGUGUCGUGAGAUGUUGGGUUAAGUCCCGCAACGAGCGCAACCCUUAAGCUUAGUUGCCAUCAUUAAGUUGGGCACUCUAAGUUGACUGCCGGUGACAAACCGGAGGAAGGUGGGGAUGACGUCAAAUCAUCAUGCCCCUUAUGAUUUGGGCUACACACGUGCUACAAUGGACAAUACAAAGGGCAGCGAAACCGUGAGGUCAAGCAAAUCCCAUAAAGUUGUUCUCAGUUCGGAUUGUAGUCUGCAACUCGACUACAUGAAGCUGGAAUCGCUAGUAAUCGUAGAUCAGCAUGCUACGGUGAAUACGUUCCCGGGUCU
rnacentral:rRNA from 1 species